rnacentral:lncRNA from 1 species
GGGAUGGAGCAAGCCGCUAUCUGUAGCGGAAUCUUAAGCACAUGAACUGUUCCGCUCGUGACUCUGUUCUCUAUCAACCACCACUUAUAUUUUCCAGGUACAGACCUCCAGCGGCAGUAGCAGUAGCAGUAAUGUAUUGUCCAUGCACUGACGAUUACUCUCAUGUUCCUGACAACCACGCUGCAUGAUAGGUAAAUCCAUCUCCCCAGUUUUCUCUCAACCGUUCGUCCAUCUUUAGGGUGCUGCUCUGUCGCAUCAAAGAUGUGUCCAUUUGCCUUUGUCUUGCACGUUGGCUUGUAUCUGUUGAUGGUGCACAAACAAAAGCAGUGGUCAGACUGACUCUAUUGACCCUACCGGUAUCUUGCUUUAGGCCAUAUCUCACGGUCAUCGAAUGCCUUUCUUAUCGUUAGAUGAUCAACUUAAGGGUGAGAAGGGCUGAGGAAAGAGUAAGGAAGCUCCCUCGGUUGUUUUCUUGUAACUUGGCUCUUUGUGUCACAAGCAUAUAUAUAUAUAUAUACAUAUAUAUAUAUAUGUAUAUAUAUAUAUAUUGUUAACCACCGCAAAGGCUCAUGUGAACAACCAGCUCGAGGACAAACUGGGGAGGCUGUCGAACUCUCGUGCAUGGUGAAGUACAAUCGGACCGCUUGCACCAGUACGAAGCUGACAAAACAGAGGUGACAAACUACGCAGGUCACACCGCCGAGUUUUAAUCCGGUGGAGAAGGAAGGCAAAUAUUCAUGAUUGCUCGUGGCGAGUAUAAUUGCUUGUGUCGCGACGCGGCUCGCCCGCGCAUCUGAUCCGUAUGGCCAAUUGGUAACUUCGUAUCACGCUGGACACAGCCUCGCAAGUGGCACGUCAACAACUCGUGUACACAUUGUGAGCGGUGUAGUAACAUGUCGUGUGAUGCACAGGUAAAACCGUGAAGGAUUUAUUAUUGCUCCCAUAUAUACUGUAGUACAUGACCAUUACCGCAAUGCAGUCACCUCUGUCAGCGCCGACGAAUGCAACCAGUGACAUCACCGUCUUCGCCCUCCUUCCCUCCCUCACACGGUAUGUUCCAUGAAGUGGUUCCAAACACAAACUAUUAAUUAUUUUAUUAAGUUUGAACCAAUAUAUUUCAAUCCCCCUUAAAAAUCCUAUCUUAAAUUAGAAUGUUCACAUCUCCUCCACUCAGGCAUUUAUCGGCCACUCUAACUUUGAGAGGAUCCAUAUACUCUCUAUCUUACCUCUGUCUUCUUACAUACUCAAACCUCUUAGAUCGACUAUAAUUCUAAUUAUCACGAUAUGACAUGAUAAAAUAACAAACUCAUUCACUUUGUUGAACUUAGCUACUG